rnacentral:tRNA from 1 species
AUUGUAAUAGCUUAACUAUAAAGCUUAGCGUUGAAAAUGCUAGAUUAAAGAAUUCUUUUUAUAAUA